rnacentral:lncRNA from 1 species
GCAUAUUACUCAACAGUCACCCUUCUUCUACAUAUUCUUAAUACAUUUUCCCUUUGUUUCAUUUUUCUUUCUGUUUUUUUUUAUUUUUUCAACUUCUGCAAAGCAAAGAUUACUUGGAGCCAUGUUCAUCUCCAGAGCAAGUGCCAGGCAUGUCUCUCUAUCUCUAUCUAACAAGCACACAUUUCUGUCAUUAUAGAAUAUUAAAUUUUCUUGUAUAGUAAUAAAAUAUGAAUUUAGUAACUUUUUACAGCUUAUCUUCUUUUGUGAGCUACUGCUCUUCUUCAAGCAACCCAAAUCUGAUGCUUGAUUCCACAUAGAAACUAAAGGGUUGACAGAGAUACAGUUUAGGACUUUAAUUUUGACGAAUGACUUAUAGUUGAGUAUUAUACUUAAAAAUAUGAUAAUACUAGCACCUUUAAAUUUGCUGACAACUUGAGUUAGCUAUUAAUGUUUGGUUCUGUCUUGAAAUCAUUUUUUCUAAGAACUAAGAGGUGUGAUAUAAAUGUACCCAUGCAUGUAGGGUAUGAUGAACCAGGUGGUUGACAAAAAAAAUCGAUCAGAACCGAAAUCGGUCAACACUGAACUAAGAAAAUACUUAAUAAUUCGAUGGUUUCAGUUUUAGUUUUGAGUCUUAAUUUCAAGUUUGGUUUGACAUAUCGGUUAACACAAAAAUUAACUGAGAUCAAAUCAUUUUUAAUGGUUAAUUAAUAAAAAUAAUCCAAUCUUAGAUUUCAAAAAUGACAGAAUUGAUAAUUAUAAAAUGGCAUAACUGUUCGAUUAACUAAAUAGUAACUAUUUAUAGUAUAAAUCAGCACUUAAUAUAUUGUUGAUUUAUGAUGUAAAAAUAUUGGUAAUUGAUUCGGUGUGACAUGACACCAUUAUCACGUAUAUUUCAAGCUAUUAGAUUUGUUAGAUUUGAUUACAAUCGUUGGAUAUAAAUUUAUUAAAAAAAAUAAUAGAUUAUUUUUUUAACGAUUAUAUACAAUAAAAGUACAAAAUAUAAUAAUAUUUAUUUUUUAUUCCAUUGAUUAUAUAAAUUUGAAAUAAAAUUAAUAAUUUUACUUUUAUUGAAACUCCGAUAUUACACGACACCAAAUAGUAAUUCAGAAAUAUUGGUAAUUUCGUAGGAGGUUAGUUUUUUAAAUGAAGUUUGGAUAGUGUGGAUGCUUAAUUUACCUUGGCUUCUCUAUCUACUUUUAACACGUAUCUAGAUCCAGCAAUAAACUAGAAUACUUGAACUUUUAACCCUCGGUUUCCCGUUUAGAAUCGGGGUAGAAAAAAAACACUUUUCAGUUUUGCUUUUAGAGAAAAAUUGGUAAAUUUAUGCUUGUUCUUCAGGAACAUAAUAAAAUUAGUUUAUAAAAAAAUUAAAUAAUUAAAUAAAAGAAAUUCUAACCCUACUAUUGAUCGAUUACAAUAGUCCUAUAAAAGACUGGAGGUCAGAGUGUAAACAACGAUAAUUUUUCGAUAUGCAUACCAAAGAGAAAUUUCAUAUGAAAGUAAAACUUUAAUAUUUAAAUUAUUUUUCCUUCUGUAGCUAUUUCCCACAAAGUCACCUUGAAAUCCUCUUUUAUUUCAAGUUGCAAACCAUAGAAGAGACAACGAAUUGUAUGAUAUUCUCAAAAUACAUUUGAGUGUCUUUUGUAAUUGUAUGGUAUUUCUAAUAUACAUUUCUCUGCAUCUUUCCCCUUCUGAUUCUUAAGUCACAAGCCAUUCACUGUACUUUUCUCAGCUUUCAUGGGAAACACACCAAAUUGUUACGUCAUGGUUGCUACUGAGAAACCAAAGGACUUCAGAAAUGCCUUGAUAGUACUUUUAGAUCUUUGCCACCUCAAUAAAUAUGCUUUCUGUAUAGGCAUGUUUUGCCAACCAACUGUUAUUCUAUAACUCAACAAUAUUUGCUUAUUCUUCACCAAGUUUUAGUGAAUGAUGUUAUCGUAAAUACACGCACCAUCAAGACGAGAAAUCAAUAAACCCUGCACAAUGUAGAAGAAUUAGUAAUGUUCUCUUCUUCAGAAACAUGCCUUGAACGGAUGGAGUGUGUAACCGAGUUCAUUACCUGUGAAAAAGGCAGGUUCACUGACAACUAGCUUAUGUGAGGGAAGCCCCGACUCUGGCUGGUCUUAGACUCCUUUGAGCCCUUCGUGCAUAUUCAAAUACAAAUAUAAAGAGACUGAAGAUGUAUACCAGGCAUACAUGUAGCUUAUCUAUUAUGCCACAUCUUGAACGGACAUUGUUUCCACCCUCUGAACUUGUCUUGCAAAGUGAUAUCCCUGUCUCAAACCAGCCUGACAAAAUAACAAUGAAAAUUAUCACAAGAUGGAAGUUACAAGUUAACUACAGUUCAUUGCAGUAGACAGUUAGAGCCAUUCAACAUCUUCUUAAGAGAAAUAGUUCACUGGCUGAGUUUUUCUUUCAUCUGUUCCCUCUUUUAUCUUCAGUUCACUUAAUAACAGGCAUGUAUAAACUGCUAGCUAGGAAGGUGGCAUCCCUUCUUGGAAGGAUGUUAAGGUGUUGCAGCACUAGAAUCCAUGUGGAUUACACAGGAUUCUAUGAUUUAUCAUUCUUUUCAUCCUGACCCUUGCUCUUUUUAAGAAAUACGAUGAAUAUAAAAUGUAGGAAGAGGAAACUUAAGCAUUGACCCUAUAGGCAAAUAAAAUGCUUUAUCUUAAGGUUAAGGUGGUUUCUAAGUCCCUCAGUGGGUGCACAAAAGAAAAACCUUGACGCUUACCAGGAGUUUUCUGGGGCAGAUUAUUCCAAUCAUGAGGCCUAAUUUUUGUUUCAGUUGUCGUGAUCAAGUCAUGAAGAGCUUGAUUGACCUGCAAUUUUCCAAGACAUGAUGAAUAUGGGUCCAUUUCACUGCGAUUUCAGAGAGAAUAGUCUGAAAAUGCAAUCUGAUCUACUUCUGGGAAUUACUACAGCUAUGUUUAGUAAUAAAUAUUUCUAUAUCGCAGAUUUUCACCAUCGCAAGGAUUCAAUGGCCUACACUACUCAAAAUCUAUCAUACAAGUACAAAAAUACCUCCUCGGUCCUCUCAUG